rnacentral:rRNA from 1 species
UGGGGAAUAUUGGACAAUGGGGGCAACCCUGAUCCAGCAAUGCCGCGUGUGUGAAGAAGGUCUUCGGAUUGUAAAGCACUUUCGACGGGGACGAUGAUGACGGUACCCGUAGAAGAAGCCCCGGCUAACUUCGUGCCAGCAGCCGCGGUAAUACGAAGGGGGCUAGCGUUGCUCGGAAUGACUGGGCGUAAAGGGCGUGUAGGCGGUUUACACAGUCAGAUGUGAAAUCCCCGGGCUUAACCUGGGAGCUGCAUUUGAUACGUGUAGACUAGGGUGUGAGAGAGGGUUGUGGAAUUCCCAGUGUAGAGGUGAAAUUCGUAGAUAUUGGGAAGAACACCGGUGGCGAAGGCGGCAACCUGGCUCAUGACUGACGCUGAGGCGCGAAAGCGUGGGGAGCAAACAGGUUAGAUACCCUGGUAGUCCACGCUGUAAACGAUGUGUGCUAGAUGUUGGGUAACUUUGUUAUUCAGUGUCGCAGUUAACGCGUUAAGC